ACAUGCUUGCAACAUAGCGUUAAUGCAAUCGAUCCCUUUAGAACUCCACAGUUAAGCGCACUCAGGCUAGAGUAGUACUAGGAUGGGUGACUACCCAGGAAGUCCUAGUAUUUUACAUGCC
rfam:Picea glauca, whole genome shotgun sequence.